rnacentral:rRNA from 1 species
AUUGAACGCUGGCGGCAGGCCUAACACAUGCAAGUCGAGCGGAUGAAGGGAGCUUGCUCCUGGAUUCAGCGGCGGACGGGUGAGUAAUGCCUAGGAAUCUGCCUGGUAGUGGGGGAUAACGUCCGGAAACGGGCGCUAAUACCGCAUACGUCCUGAGGGAGAAAGUGGGGGAUCUUCGGACCUCACGCUAUCAGAUGAGCCUAGGUCGGAUUAGCUAGUUGGUGGGGUAAAGGCCUACCAAGGCGACGAUCCGUAACUGGUCUGAGAGGAUGAUCAGUCAACGUGAAGGUGACACCGCACCCAGGCACUUAGGGAGGGCGCAGGUGGGAAAGUUUGGCAAAAGGGGGAAAUCUGGAACAACCCGGGGGGGGGGGGUGAAGAAGGUUUUCGGUUUGUAAAACCCUUUAAGUGGGGAAAAAGGCUGUUAAGUUAAACCCUUCGUGUUUGAAGGUAACCAACAAAAAAGCCCCGGCUAAAUUCGUG